rnacentral:rRNA from 1 species
AGGUAAGCUACUAAGAGCGAAUGGUGGAUGCCUUGACUGGUAAAGGCGAUGAAGGACGUACUAGACUGCGAUAAGCUACGGGGAGCUGUCAAGAAGCUUUGAUCCGUAGAUUUCCGAAUGGGGCAACCCAAUGUAUAGAGAUAUACAUUACCUAUAUAGGAGCGAACGAGGGGAAUUGAAACAUCUUAGUACCCUCAGGAAAAGAAAUCAAUAGAGAUUGCGUCAGUAGCGGCGAGCGAAAGCGCAAGAGGGCAAACCCAGUGCUUGCACUGGGGGUUGUAGGACUGCAAUGUGCAAGAGCUGAGUUUAGCAGAACAUUCUGGAAAGUAUAGCCAUAGAGGGUGAUAGUCCCGUAUGCGAAAAACAAAGCUUAGCUAGCAGUAUCCUGAGUAGGGCGGGACACGAGGAAUCCUGUCUGAAUCCGGGUCGACCACGAUCCAACCCUAAAUACUAAUACCAGAUCGAUAGUGCACAAGUACCGUGAGGGAAAGGUGAAAAGAACUGAGGUGAUCAGAGUGAAAUAGAACCUGAAACCAUUUGCUUACAAUCAUUCAGAGCACUAUGUAGCAAUACAGUGUGAUGGACUGCCUUUUGCAUAAUGAGCCUGCGAGUUGUGGUGUCUGGCAAGGUUAAGCAAACGCGAAGCCGUAGCGAAAGCGAGUCUGAAUAGGGCGCUUAGUCAGAUGCUGCAGACCCGAAACGAAGUGAUCUAUCCAUGAGCAAGUUGAAGCUAGUGUAAGAACUAGUGGAGGACUGAACCCAUAGGCGUUGAAAAGCCCCGGGAUGACUUGUGGAUAGGGGUGAAAGGCCAAUCAAACUUCGUGAUAGCUGGUUCUCUCCGAAAUAUAUUUAGGUAUAGCGUUGUGUCGUAAUAUAAGGGGGUAGAGCACUGAAUGGGCUAGGGCAUACACCAAUGUACCAAACCCUAUCAAACUCCGAAUACCUUAUAUGUAAUCACAGCAGUCAGGCGGCGAGUGAUAAAAUCCGUCGUCGAGAGGGAAACAACCCAGACUACCAGCUAAGGUCCCUAAAUCUUACUUAAGUGGAAAACGAUGUGAAGUUACUUAAACAACCAGGAGGUUGGCUUAGAAGCAGCCAUCCUUUAAAGAAAGCGUAAUAGCUCACUGGUCUAGUGAUUUUGCGCGGAAAAUAUAACGGGGCUAAAGUAAGUACCGAAGCUGUAGACUUGCACACAACUUAGAUUAUUUAAGUUUAGAAUAUGAGAAACUAAGUUAUGUUUAGUUAUAUUUUUACUGAUUUUUAUAGAGUAAAGAUAGAAAUAAAACUUAGUAAAAUCAGUAAAAAUAUUCUUAGGCUAAAGUUAAGUAGUUUAAGUUGUGUGCAAGUGGUAGGAGAGCGUUCUAUUUGCGUCGAAGGUAUACCGGUAAGGAGUGCUGGAGCGAAUAGAAGUGAGCAUGCAGGCAUGAGUAGCGAUAAUUAAUGUGAGAAUCAUUAACGCCGUAAACCCAAGGUUUCCUACGCGAUGCUCGUCAUCGUAGGGUUAGUCGGGUCCUAAGUCGAGUCCGAAAGGGGUAGACGAUGGCAAAUUGGUUAAUAUUCCAAUACCAA